AGUUCAUACAAGUGCAGUGGUGUUUACAACUAAGUGAUCACAACCAGUUACAGAUUCCUUUGUUCCUUCUCCACUUCCACUGCUUCACUUGACCAGCCUUUU
rnacentral:Y_RNA from 1 species